rnacentral:rRNA from 1 species
UACGGGGGGAGCAAGCGUUGUUCGGAUUUACUGGGCGUAAAGGGCGCGUAGGCGGUCAGCACAAGUCAGUUGUGAAAUCUCCGGGCUUAACUCGGAAAGGUCAACUGAUACUGUGCGACUAGAGUGCAGAAGGGGCAACUGGAAUUCUCGGUGAAGCGGUGAAAUGCGUAGAUAUCGAGAGGAACACCUGCGGCGAAGGCGGGUUGCUGGGCUGACACUGACGCUGAUGCGCGAAAGCCAGGGGAGCGAACGGG